UGAAGUUUAUACCAAUUUCAGGGAUCAAAGGAGAGCCCAAACAGGAUGUCAUUAAAAAAAAAAGCAUCUCCUACAGCAGAGAACUGCCUGACCGUGCUGCAGUGAGGCAGGAUUACUCCAGCAAAAGAGGAGACAAUUUAGCCAGUGCUGUUUGUCUGCACAGCCAUCCCACCAGUGCAAGAUUAUCUGCUCGAAUCUCUACAGUAGGACCUGCAUACGCAGCUGUCUGACUCAGAAAAACCAGCAAAGCAUCGCCAUUGCCAACUGCACUAAGAUGCUUCCUGACGGGCUGAGCAGUUUUAGAAUAUUCUGUUUUGGUUUCACGUUAUAUUUCACUGCGAGUGAGGGACAGCUCAUGUGAUUAAUAUUUCCUUCCAGUUACUUGUUGAACCAACUAGAUGUAUAGUCAAGACUGACUUCAGUACCAUUAUCCUAGCAAUUCCUAGUGACAUAUUGAAUGAUUUUACAGUGGGCCUCAGAUCUGGCUUACCAACUAGCAGUCGUCCACACCAUUUCACAUUGUCCUGUUGUUUAUUCUGUGUCAGUCAAGGAGAAAUUACAGAAAGCAUCAGCCAGAGACCCUCCCUCACCUACCAAUAGAGAGCAGUAAAGCCAGAACAACCACAUACACUCAGAAGG